CCUACGGGCGGCUGCAGUGGGGAAUAUUGCACAAUGGGCGCAAGCCUGAUGCAGCCAUGCCGCGUGUGUGAAGAAGGCCUUCGGGUUGUAAAGCACUUUCAGCGGGGAGGAAGGCGGUGAGGUUAAUAACCUCAUCGAUUGACGUUACCCGCAGAAGAAGCACCGGCUAACUCCGUGCCAGCAGCCGCGGUAAUACGGAGGGUGCAAGCGUUAAUCGGAAUUACUGGGCGUAAAGCGCACGCAGGCGGUCUGUCAAGUCGGAUGUGAAAUCCCCGGGCUCAACCUGGGAACUGCAUUCGAAACUGGCAGGCUAGAGUCUUGUAGAGGGGGGUAGAAUUCCAGGUGUAGCGGUGAAAUGCGUGGAGAUCUGGAGGAAUACCGGUGGCGAAGGCGGCCCCCUGGACAAAGACUGACGCUCAGGUGCGAAAGCGUGGGGAGCAAACAGGAUUAGAUACCCCAGUAGUC
rnacentral:rRNA from 1 species